AAACUCCUUAGCAAGAUAUUAUAACUGACAACAUUUGGACUGAAUCCCUUAGAAGGCAAUUCCCUAAAUAACUGCAUGGCAUCCUCUGUCCUACCUUCUUUGCACAACCCAGUCAACAAAACAUUGUAGCUAACCAAGUUAGGUUUCCCACCCUUUGCAAUUAUCUCAUCCAAAAGCUUACUUGCUUCAUCAGCUCCUCUUUCCUUGUAUGCAGCUUCAAGCAAAAAAGAGUAUGUAUAAGCAUUAGGAACCAACCCCUUCUGGAUUAAUCUGUCUAAAAGUUGCAAGCUCUGAGUCAAGUUUCCAUGCAUACAAAGCCCUCUCACAAGUGAAUUAUAAGUAGCAGUGUUAGUAGGAUAACCAUAUUCCUCCAUUUUGUCCACUAGUUGCAUUGCAUAACCAACAUUCCCUUUUCUACACAAAGAACUAACCAAAAAGGUAUAAGAUGCUGCAUCUGGAAUGAUUCCAGACCCAAUCAUCAUCUCCAUUACCUUAAUAGCUUUUCUCAUCUUACAUGUCUUACAGAGAUCAUACAAUAACUGAGUUGCUUGAAAUACAUCAGGCUUUUGCCCCUUCUCAACCAUGAACUCUAAAUGAAAAAAAGCAUCAUUAAGUCUAAGUUCUUUACUCUUUUGAUCAAGUUUCCCAAUCUUCCAAUUUGGAAGUGUGAAAAUGGUGUCCUUU
rnacentral:lncRNA from 1 species